rnacentral:rRNA from 1 species
AUUGAACGCUGGCGGCAUGCCUUACACAUGCAAGUCGAACGGUAACAGGUCCUCGGAUGCUGACGAGUGGCGAACGGGUGAGUAAUACAUCGGAACGUGCCUAGUAGUGGGGGAUAACUACUCGAAAGAGUGGCUAAUACCGCAUGAGAUCUACGGAUGAAAGCAGGGGAUCGCAAGACCAUGUGCUACUAGAGCGGCCGAUGGCAGAUUAGGUAGUUGGUGGGAUAAAAGCUUACCAAGCCGACGAUCUGUAGCUGGUCUGAGAGGACGAUCAGCCACACUGGGACUGAGAAACGGCCCAGACUCCUACGGGAGGCAGCAGUGGGGAAUUUUGGACAAUGGGCGCAAGCCUGAUCCAGCAAUGCCGCGUGCAGGAUGAAGGCCUUCGGGUUGUAAACUGCUUUUGUACGGAACGAAAAGCCCCGGGUUAAUACCCUGGGGUCAUGACGGUACCGUAAGAAUAAGCACCGGCUAACUACGUGCCAGCCGCCGCGGUAA